UGGUCUGAGAGGAUGAUCAGUCGCGAUGGGACUGAGACACGGCCCAUACUCCUACGGGAGGCAGCAGUAAGGAAUCUUCCACAAUGGACGAAAGUCUGAUGGAGCAACACCGCGUGGUUGAUGAAGCCCUUCGGGGUGUAAAGACCUUUUCUGGGAGAAGAAUUCUGACGGUAUCCUAGGAAUAAGCACCGGCUAACUCCGUGCCAGCAGCCGCGGUAAUACGGAGGGUGCAAGCGUUAUCCGGAAUCAUUGGGCGUAAAGCGUCCGCAGGCGGUUUGUUCAGUUGGGUGUUAAAUUUUGCAGCUCAACUGCAAAAAUACAUUCAAAACUGGCAAACUAGAGUACUUCAGAGGUACGUGGAAUUCUGUGUGUAGGGGUAAAAUCCAUAGAUACACAGAGGAAUACCAAAAGCGAAGGCAGCGUACUGGGAAGUCACGGACGCUCAGGGACGAAAGCGUGGGUAGCGAACGGGAUUAGAUACCCCGGUAGUCCACGCCGUAAACGAUGGAUACUAGUUGUUGGAGGACUCGACCCCUCCAGUGACGUCGCUAACGCAUUAAGUGUCCCGCCUGGGGAGUACGGUCGCAAGAUUAAAACUCAAAGGAAUAGACGGGGACCCACACAAGCGGUGGAGCAUGUGGUUUAAUUCGACGAUAAGCGAGGAACCUUACCUGGACUUGACAUCCCGAGAAUUUCCCCGAAAAGGGAAAGUGCCGCAAGGAACUCGGUGACAGGUGCUGCAUGGUUGUCGUCAGCUCGUGCCUUGAGGUGUUCGGUUAAGUCCGUGAACGAGCGCAACCCUUGUCCUGUGUUGUAUUUUCACAGGAGACUGCCGGCUUUAAGUCGGAGGAAGGUAAGGAUGACGUCAAAUCAGCAUGGCCCUUAUGUCCAGGGCUACACACGUGCUACAAUGGCAGGUACAAUAGGCAGCAAACCCGCGAGGGGGAGCCAAUCCUCAAAAACCUGUCCUAAGUUCGAAUUGAUGGCUGCAACUCGCCAUCAUGAAGUUGGAAUCGCUAGUAACCGCGUAUCAGCCAUGACGCGGUGAAUAUGUUCCUGGGUCUUGUACUCACCGCCCGUCACGUCAUGAAAGGUGGAGGCACCCG
rnacentral:rRNA from 1 species